rnacentral:rRNA from 1 species
UACAGAGGAGCCAAGCGUUGUCCGGAUUGACUGGGCGUAAAGCGCACGCAGGCGGACGCGCGCGUGGGGUGUGAAAUACUGGCCGCUUAACGGCCAGGCGCCAUCCCAUACGGCGCGUCUGGAGCAAUGCAGAGGGUCGGUGGAAUUGCCGGUGUAGUGGUGAAAUGCGUAGAGAUCGGCAGGAACACCCAGGGGGAAACCAGC